rnacentral:rRNA from 1 species
GUCGAGCGGCAGCGACAACAUUGAAUCUUCGGAGGAUUUGUUGGGCGGCGAGCGGCGGACGGGUGAGUAAUGCCUAGGAAAUUGCCCUGAUGUGGGGGAUAACCAUUGGAAACGAUGGCUAAUACCGCAUGAUGCCUACGGGCCAAAGAGGGGGACCUUCGGGCCUCUCGCGUCAGGAUAUGCCUAGGUGGGAUUAGCUAGUUGGUGAGGUAAGGGCUCACCAAGGCGACGAUCCCUAGCUGGUCUGAGAGGAUGAUCAGCCACACUGGAACUGAGACACGGUCCAGACUCCUACGGGAGGCAGCAGUGGGGAAUAUUGCACAAUGGGCGCAAGCCUGAUGCAGCCAUGCCGCGUGUGUGAAGAAGGCCUUCGGGUUGUAAAGCACUUUCAGUAGGGAGGAAGGUUCAUGCGUUAAUAGCGUAUGGAUUUGACGUUACCUACAGAAGAAGCACCGGCUAACUCCGUGCCAGCAGCCGCGGUAAUACGGAGGGUGCGAGCGUUAAUCGGAAUUACUGGGCGUAAAGCGCAUGCAGGUGGUUUGUUAAGUCAGAUGUGAAAGCCCGGGGCUCAACCUCGGAAUUGCAUUUGAAACUGGCAGACUAGAGUACUGUAGAGGGGGGUAGAAUUUCAGGUGUAGCGGUGAAAUGCGUAGAGAUCUGAAGGAAUACCGGUGGCGAAGGCGGCCCCCUGGACAGAUACUGACACUCAGAUGCGAAAGCGUGGGGGAGCAAACAGGAUUAGAUACCCUGGUAGUCCACGCCGUAAACGAUGUCUACUUGGAGGUUGUGGCCUUGAGCCGUGGCUUUCGGAGCUAACGCGUUAAGUAGACCGCCUGGGGAGUACGGUCGCAAGAUUAAAACUCAAAUGAAUUGACGGGGGCCCGCACAAGCGGUGGAGCAUGUGGUUUAAUUCGAUGCAACGCGAAGAACCUUACCUACUCUUGACAUCCAGAGAAGCCAGCAGAGAUGCAGGUGUGCCUUCGGGAACUCUGAGACAGGUGCUGCAUGGCUGUCGUCAGCUCGUGUUGUGAAAUGUUGGGUUAAGUCCCGCAACGAGCGCAACCCUUAUCCUUGUUUGCCAGCGAGUAAUGUCGGGAACUCCAGGGAGACUGCCGGUGAUAAACCGGAGGAAGGUGGGGACGACGUCAAGUCAUCAUGGCCCUUACGAGUAGGGCUACACACGUGCUACAAUGGCGCAUACAGAGGGCAGCCAACUUGCGAAAGUGAGCGAAUCCCAAAAAGUGCGUCGUAGUCCGGAUUGGAGUCUGCAACUCGACUCCAUGAAGUCGGAAUCGCUAGUAAUCGUGGAUCAGAAUGCCACGGUGAAUACGUUCCCGGGCCUUGUACACACCGCCCGUCACACCAUGGGAGUGGGCUGCAAAAGAAGUAGGUAGUUUA